rnacentral:rRNA from 1 species
UACAGAGGGUGCUAGCGUUGUUCGGAAUCAUUGGGCGUAAAGGGCGUGUAGGCGGUUUGUUAAGUCAUGUGUGAAAUCCCUCGGCUCAACCGGGGAACGACGCAUGAAACUGGCAAGCUAGAGUACCAAAGAGGGGGGUGGAAUUCCCGGUGUAGUGGUGAAAUACGUAGAUAUCUGGAGGAAUACCGGUGGCGAAGGCGGCUACCUGGCCCAACAUUGACACUGAGGCCCGAAAGCGUGGGGAUCAAACAGG